GGCUUUGAGCAAGCUCCGGGAGCUGGUGUUGGACAAGGAAGCCUGGCCUGCUGCUGUCCAUGGGGUCGCAGAGAAUUGGACACGACUGAGCGACUGAACUGAACUGAGGUCAGAUAUGACUGUGGUGUAAUCUUUAAGAUCACCACCAGAGGGCGGGGCUUCCUUCAGAUGCGAUUCCUUUUUGUAUUCAGGAGCUGGUUUGACUUGCCUACUCUGUAGCCACAAGACAGAUGACUGCUGCUGUGCAGAAAGGGGUUCCCGGUUUCUGAGUGAGGAGCUUCUGUAACAUCCAGCCAGAGACUAACUUUGUUAGAUUUGAUGUUUCUAGGAAAAGAGGACUGUUGCCAGAAUGUUUUCUGCCACUCACUCAGUUCUCAUAAUCUGCUUAAUACUUGGAGGGACCAAUGGUGACUCAGUGAACCAGACAGAAGGCCCAGUGAUUGUCUCAGAGGGGGCUUUUAUGACCCUGAACUGCACUUACCAGACCAAGUAUUCAGAUUUCUAUCUUUUCUGGUAUGUCCAGCGUCUCAACAAAGCUCCUCAACUCCUCCUGAAGGGCUUAACAGCAGACAAGAAGGUAGAGCAUGAAGGUUUUCAGGCCACUCUUGUUAGGAGUGACAGCUCCUUCCACCUGCAGAAACGGGCAGUGCAAGCAUCAGACUCGGCCGUGUACUACUGUGCUCUGAGUGACACAGUGAGAGAGGGCUGCGGGGGAGCUGAGCACAAACCCAAGGGGAGCAGGAGGCUGAAGUCAGGAAGAGGUAUAUUCUCUCCUUGAUCAGAGUUUAGUUUACAUUUAGAGUUUUUCAGGAAAACCAAUCAAGCUCAGGUCUAAUCCUAGAAACCCAGGAGGUUGGGAAUUGCU